AGAGUUUGAUCCUGGCUCAGGACGAACGCUGGCGGCGUGCCUAACACAUGCAAGUCGAACGGAGAAUUCAAUAAGCUUGCUUAAAGAAUUCUUAGUGGCGGACGGGUGAGUAACGCGUGGGUAACCUACCCAUAAAGCCGGGACAACCCUUGGAAACGAGGGCUAAUACCGGAUAAUCUUAAGUUUUGGCAUCAGAAUUUAAGGAAAGAUGGCCUCUGAAGAUGCUAUCGAUUAUGGAUGGACCCGCGUCUGAUUAGCUAGUUGGUGGGGUAAAGGCCUACCAAGGCGACGAUCAGUAGCCGGCCUGAGAGGGUGAACGGCCACACUGGGACUGAGACACGGCCCAGACUCCUACGGGAGGCAGCAGUGGGGAAUCUUCCGCAAUGGACGAAAGUCUGACGGAGCAACGCCGCGUGUAUGAUGAAGGUCUUCGGAUUGUAAAGUACU
rnacentral:rRNA from 1 species